rnacentral:rRNA from 1 species
UGCCUACGGGAGGCAGCAGUAGGGAAUUUUCGUCAAUGGGGGGAACCCUGAACGAGCAAUGCCGCGUGAGUGAAGAAGGCCUUCGGGUCGUAAAGCUCUGUUGUAAGAGAAAAACGGUAAUGAUAGGGAAUGAUCAUUAAGUGAUGGGAUCUUACGAGGAAGCCACGGCUAACUAAGUGCCAGCAGCCGCGGGAAUAAGUAGGUGGCAAGCGGUAUCCGGAAUGAUUGGGCGUAAAGGGGGCGCAGGCGGAUGUAUGAGUCUGAAGUAAAAGCC